UACGUAGGGGGCAAGCGUUGUCCGGAUUUACUGGGCGUAAAGAGCGUGUAGGCGGCCAGGCAGGUCUGUUGUGAAAACUGGAGGCUUAACCUCCAGACGUCGACAGAAACCGCUUGGCUAGAGUCCGGAAGAGGAGAGUGGAAUUCCUGGUGUAGCGGUGAAAUGCGCAGAUAUCAGGAAGAACACCAAUGGCGAAUGCAGCUCUCUGGGACGGUACUGACGCUGAGACGCGAAAGCGUGGGGAGCGAACAGG
rnacentral:rRNA from 1 species